AGUGCUUUUUUUUUUUUUGGAAAAAAUUCAAAUACCUCCAUGUAGUUUCGCACUUUCUCAUUUUAGUUUUCUGUACUUUAAAGUGUAUCAAGUUAAUACCUUGUGGUUUUGCACUUUCUCACUUUAGUACCCUAUGGUUUAAAGUGUAUCAAGUUUGUACUCUGUGGUUUCAUUUUUCUAUCAAGUUAGUACCCUGUGGUUUCAUUUUCUCUUUUUAUUAUCCAUUUUGGGGUAUUUUUUUCGUUAAAUUAGUAACAAAGUUAGAACUUAAAGGUACUAAAAUAAAUAUUUGAUAAACCUAGGUAGGGUAUCUGAAGUUUUUUGUAUAUAAUUUAACAAAAUAUUAAAUCAUAGGGUACUAAAGUGAGAAAGUGCGAAUCACAGGGUGCUAACUUGAUACACUUUAAACCACAGGGUACUAAAUUAAGAAAGUCACUACAACAAAAAGGCAUAUAGCGACACUUUUAAAUGUCGGUACAUGUCAAAAAAAGUGCUACUGGCUAAAUUAUCGACACUUUUAAAAAGUGUUGCUAUAUGUGGGGUCGCUAUAUAUAUAGUGACAGUUAAAGAGUGUCGCUAUAACCUAAAAAAAGUGAUGCUAAUUUACCAACACUUAUUUAAAUAUUUAGCAACCGCCGGAACUCUACCUCGUUGGCUGCGGUGGCGGAGGAGGACGAGAGGGAAGGGCUCUUCGUCUAGAAUUUCAGUGGAUUGAGUGAGGGAAGAAUGGGAGAUGGUAAUCGAUUUUUUUUUUUUUUUUUUUUCUUUUCUAUUUGUAAUUGGGCCGAAUGGGAAGGGUGGGGUGGGUUGAGUAGAGUAACUUUUUAUUUUUUGUUGGAUUGGGCUUUAUAUUUAAGCAGUAAAUUUUUUAAAAAUUUUGGCAUAAAUGGAACACUUACACAAAAGUGUUUCAAACAUAUGUCCCUAUAAUCUAAUUCUGUUGUAGUGAGUGCGAAACCACAGGGUACUAAUUUGAUAUACUUUAAACCACAGAGUACUAAAGUGAGAAAGUUCGAAACCUCGGGAGUGUUUGAAGUUUUCCCUUUUUUUUUUAUCGAAGGGGUUAAGCAUAGCACGUGAUAUAUUAAAGGGGUAAAAUACAUUUU
rnacentral:lncRNA from 1 species